rnacentral:rRNA from 1 species
GUGGGGAAUCUUGCGCAAUGGGCGAAAGCCUGACGCAGCCAUGCCGCGUGAAUGAUGAAGGUCUUAGGAUUGUAAAAUUCUUUCACCGGGGACGAUAAUGACGGUACCCGGAGAAGAAGCUCCGGCUAACUUCGUGCCAGCAGCCGCGGUAAUACGAAGGGGGCUAGCGUUGCUCGGAAUUACUGGGCGUAAAGGGCGCGUAGGCGGACAGCUUAGUCAGAGGUGAAAGCCCAGGGCUCAACCUUGGAAUUGCCUUUGAUACUGGCUGUCUUGAGUUUGGGAGAGGUGAGUGGAACUCCGAGUGUAGAGGUGAAAUGCGUAGAGAUCGGGAGGAACACCAGUGGCGAAGGCGACUUACUGGACUGUAACUGACGCUGAGGCGCGAAAGUGUGGGGAGCAAACAGGAUUAGAAACCCUAGUAGUCC